AGAGUCGGCUGCGUGGCUGCGGGCGUUCUUUUGAGAACGCGUGAGGAAAGUCCGAGCUUCGUAAAGCAGGGUGACGGAUAACGUCCGCCGAAGGUGACUUCAGGGAAAGUGCAACAGAAAAUACCGCGUUGCGUCUUUUGACGCGGCGCAAGGGUGAAAAGGCGGGGUAAGAGCCCACCGACCGCACGGUGACGCGCGGUGCCAUGUAAACCCCACCCGAAGCAAGAUAGGAUCGUUCCGAUAUGCGGUCGCUUGCCGCGGAACGGUCGCAAACAGUCGCUUGAGCUUGCCGGUAACGGUAAGUCUAGAUAGAUAGCCACGCCAGACAGAACUCGGCUUACAGGCCGACUCUUUCA
rnacentral:RNase_P_RNA from 1 species